rnacentral:misc_RNA from 1 species
GCAAACUUGGUCAUUUAGAGGAAGUAAAAGUCGUAACAAGGUUUCCGUAGGUGAACCUGCGGAAGGAUCAUUAUUGAUUUUAAAAGGGGAUGUGCUGGCUCUCUCGCAUGUGCACUCCUCAUAAAACCAAUUUUAUCCACCUGUGCACUCACAAGUAGACCUGAGGUUCUCUCUAGUCUAUGUUAUUUCACAAACUAUCAUUUAUAUAAUUGAAUGGUUACUUCAUAUGUUAAAACAACUUUCAACAAUGGAUCUCUUGGUUCUCGCAUCGAUGAAGAACGCAGC